AGGAUGAACGCUGGCGGCGUGCUUAACACAUGCAAGUCGAACGGUGAAAGAGGAGCUUGCUCCUCUGGAUCAGUGGCGAACGGGUGAGUAACACGUGAGCAAUCUGCCCUGGACUCUGGGAUAAGCGUUGGAAACGACGUCUAAUACCGGAUACGAGACGCGAAGGCAUCUUCAGUGUCUAGGAAAGGACUUCGGUCCAGGAUGAGCUCGCGGCCUAUCAGGUAGUUGGUGAGGUAAUGGCUACACCA
rnacentral:rRNA from 1 species